AGCUACAGGCUUAACACAUGCAAGUCGAGGGGCAGCAUGGUCUUAGCUUGCUAAGGCCGAUGGCGACCGGCGCACGGGUGAGUAACACGUAUCCAACCUGCCGUCUACUCUUGGACAGCCUUCUGAAAGGAAGAUUAAUACAAGAUGGCAUCAUGAGUCCGCAUGUUCACAUGAUUAAAGGUAUUCCGGUAGACGAUGGGGAUGCGUUCCAUUAGAUAGUAGGCGGGGUAACGGCCCACCUAGUCUUCGAUGGAUAGGGGUUCUGAGAGGAAGGUCCCCCACAUUGGAACUGAGACACGGUCCAAACUCCUACGGGAGGCAGCAGUGAGGAAUAUUGGUCAAUGGGCGAGAGCCUGAACCAGCCAAGUAGCGUGAAGGAUGACUGCCCUAUGGGUUGUAAACUUCUUUUAUAAAGGAAUAAAGUCGGGUAUGGAUACCCGUUUGCAUGUACUUUAUAAAUAAGGAUCGGCUAACUCCGUGCCAGCAGCCGCGGUAAUACGGAGGAUCCGAGCGUUAUCCGGAUUUAUUGGGUUUAAAGGGAGCGUAGAUGGAUGUUUAAGUCAGUUGUGAAAGUUUGCGGCUCAACCGUAAAAUUGCAGUUGAUACUGGAUAUCUUGAGUGCAGUUGAGGCAGGCGGAAUUCGUGGUGUAGCGGUGAAAUGCUUAGAUAUCACGAAGAACUCCGAUUGCGAAGGCAGCCUGCUAAGCUGCAACUGACAUUGAGGCUCGAAAGUGUGGGUAUCAAACAGGAUUAGAUACCCUGGUAGUCCACACGGUAAACGAUGAAUACUCGCUGUUUGCGAUAUACAGCAAGCGGCCAAGCGAAAGCGUUAAGUAUUCCACCUGGGGAGUACGCCGGCAACGGUGAAACUCAAAGGAAUUGACGGGGGCCCGCACAAGCGGAGGAACAUGUGGUUUAAUUCGAUGAUACGCGAGGAACCUUACCCGGGCUUAAAUUGCAGAUGAAUUACGGUGAAAGCCGUAAGCCGCAAGGCAUCUGUGAAGGUGCUGCAUGGUUGUCGUCAGCUCGUGCCGUGAGGUGUCGGCUUAAGUGCCAUAACGAGCGCAACCCUUGUUGUCAGUUACUAACAGGUUCCGCUGAGGACUCUGACAAGACUGCCAUCGUAAGAUGUGAGGAAGGUGGGGAUGACGUCAAAUCAGCACGGCCCUUACGUCCGGGGCUACACACGUGUUACAAUGGGGGGUACAGAGGGCCGCUACCACGCGAGUGGAUGCCAAUCCCCAAAACCUCUCUCAGUUCGGACUGGAGUCUGCAACCCGACUCCACGAAGCUGGAUUCGCUAGUAAUCGCGCAUCAGCCACGGCGCGGUGAAUACGUUCCCGGGCCUUGUACACACCGCCCGUCAAGCCAUGGGAGCCGGGGGUACCUGAAGUGCGUAACCGCGAGGAGCGCCCUAGGGUAAAACUGGUGACUG
rnacentral:rRNA from 1 species